GGUUGUUGUAAUGAUGUUUUUCAAGGUGUUGGGAGUAAGACUUGGAUACCUGAUACUGUUAACAUGUUGGUUAGCUUCACAAGUUUCCUUGGGGUUAUUUGCUGGGAUUCAUAAUUAGAGCUGUUUUAAGUUGAAAGCGUUACUGUUACUGCCUGGUAUGAUAAAAUCAGACAAUAAUCCUGCAAAACAUCAGAUGAACUGUUGCUAUCUUUCUGUGUAGAAUCCGUAGACAGAAGUCUUGAAAGCAAAAGAUUGAAUUGUUAACAAAUUUUGUUUUUAUUGCUGUUUUGAAUUAUAUUCUUUUGAAUCAUUUUCCUUGCAUUCAAUUAUUGUGUUGUGAUUGAUGGAAAAUAAAACUGUGAAAUUAUUGUUAUUUGAGGGGUUCCAAAGGUAUGACUUAUGGUUUCACAAAGUACCCAUAAGACUUGCACCAGUUUACAUAUAUUUUGUAAGUUAUGUACCUGUGAGUAUUGCAAGUGCUUUGUGAAAUGAAUUAUGCUUGUUAGAAACCAAUAAAGUAGGACUUUGAUGACCAAAUGCUAAAGGGAAUAAAAAUAAUCCCCUAUUAAACAAUUUAAGUACUGAAUUUUUGUUGCAAUAUAAACUUGGUUCCUGGAAAUGAAAACACUAGCUGUUUGGAUUUAACACCCCUUUCUGUACAUUUAUACAAAUUUUUAAUUGCUGUUAGUUUUAUUUAUUGGUUUCAUUUAUAAAAUACAUUAUUCAGCAUCUGAGGCCACUCAAGUGAAAAUAAUUGCACAGUUUUUGCAGUUUGUUUAGUGUUUAAUUUUUAUGGGAUUGAUUUUUAUGUUGUUUUUUUUUAAUCGUCAUUACUUAGGUUUUAAGGAAAUUUUUUAAGGUUUAUUAUUUUAGGAUUGUACACAAUUUCUUAAGAAUUAUAUACCCCACCCAAGAUUAAGCAGGAACCUUUAAAAUAACAUUUUGGUGGAUGGACCGCUUUUUAACGUCCAGUGGCAUAUUAAACGCAUAAUCAGGACAAGAACAUAAUAAUGUGAUAUGAAUAUAGACCCUGCUUUGUAAUAGACCAGUACUGUGAGCAGGAUUUUUUAAUGUGCUAGUUCACCAUGUAAUAGUCCAUAGGAAGAUAUGACUCGUACUCGAGCCAACCAAUAUUUGCUUUUAGUCCUAAAUGCUGCAUGCUUAGCAGGGGAGCAUGAAGUACAAAUUUCAAUUCUUAUGAAAGACCCAGCCGGGGAUCAAAUCCCAAGACCUUUUGCACUUUAGGCAAGCAUGAAAUGGGCUGCUAAAGAUGAUUUGUCUGCUUGUUUGUCCAUCAUCAUCUCUCAUCAAUGGCUUAUAUACUUUUGGAAGAUUUUCGUUGCAACUUUCAGAUAAUCUUCUGGCUAAUGGCAGUGUGUAUAUUAUUUUUUCACGAUGAAUUUUUUGGGGAGUUCCCAAUUGAAAUGAAUAGACCUUCUAAAUAUUUUUGAUUAACUUGCGAAGCAUCUCAUACAACAAUGCUGUCAUGUGAAGGAUAGGUUUGUUUGAAUUAUAUUUUAUUGUGUUUUUAAAACUUUUAAUCUUGUUUUUAAUAGUUGCCAUAAGUUGGAUCUCAUUAUGACCAAAUUAUCAUAACAUUAACAAGAAUUCAGAAUAAAUUUGGCUUUAAAACACUAAUAUAUCACCACUGUAGAUUUUAAGUAAAUUUUAUAUAAGGCUUUGCUAUAACAAGAUUUGUGUUUUAUCUGGUUUUAUAUGAUUUUAGUGGUUUUUAUGUAAUUUUAUUUGUUUUUAUUAUCAAAUCUUGUUAUACCAAGCCUUAAAAUGAUUGAGUUUGUGGGGAAAAUUAAUAGAUUUUGCAUAUCCAUGCUAUACAAAAUAUUUACUUACGUAAUGAGAUCUGACAUCUUUAGGAUUUUAACUCUUUCUUAAAGAAUAAAAAAGAAAAUGAAUGAAUUUAACUAUUGAUACAGUCCUUGAAGAUUGACAAAAUUGCAAGAUUUAUGAAUGCAUGUUCAAAAUCUGCUUUAACUAAAUCUAUGUUCAUAUCAGCUGAACCAUCCUAUCCUUCAAGAUGAUAAAUAAGAUGUAAAAAAUGGAAAAAUUCAUUCUUCAAUUGGAGAACCUUUAGAAUUUUAAGUGAAAAAAAUGGUACACAGUGUUGACAGAUACUGUAGAUUAUUUGAAAGUUUGGGAAAAGUCCAUUUAAUCCUUUAAUUGAAGGUUAAAUUUGUAGAUGGAUGAGCAAACAGAUUAAACCCUUCGUCACUAUAGCACAUUUCCUAAAGGAUAAA